rnacentral:rRNA from 1 species
GAUGAACGUUGGCGGCGUGCCUAACACAUGCAAGUCGCACGCUUGUAGCAAUACAGGAGUGGCGCACGGGUGAGUAACACGUAGCUUACCUGCCUCAAAGAGGGGGAUAACCCCGCGAAAGCGGGACUAAUACCGCAUAAGCUCACGGACUAUAGAGGUCGGUGAGAAAAAGGAGCAAUCCACUUUGAGAGGGGGCUGCGGCCCAUCAGCUAGUUGGUGCGGUAACGGCGCACCAAGGCCACGACGGGUAGGGGACCUGAGAGGGUGACCCCCCACACUGGGCUGAGACACGGCCCAGACUCCUACGGGAGGCAGCAGUGAGGGAUAUUGCACAAUGGCGCAAGCCUGAUGCAGCGACGCCGCGUGGG